GUCCUUUUGUUAUUUUUUUAAGGUCUAACCUGCCCAAUGAUUAAUUUUAAUGGCCGCAGUAUUUUAACUGUGCAAAGGUAGCAUAAUCACUUGUCUUUUAAUUGAAGGCUAGAAUGAAUGGUUGGACGAGAAACAAACUUUCUUUAAUAUUAAAUUUAAUAAUUUAAUUUUUUAGUUAAAAAGCUAAAAUUUUUUUUUGGGACGAUAAGACCCUGUAGAAUUUAAUUUAUUUAUGUAUAUAAAAAUUAUAGUUUAUUAUUCUUUUAUAUUCAUAUAUAAUUUGGUUGGGGUGACUUGGAGAUUUUUUUAACUCUUUAUAGUUUUAUUUCAAUAAUUUUUGUUUAUUUUGAUCCAAUUAUUUUGAUUAUAAGAUUAAAUUACCUCAGGGAUAACAGCGUAAUCUAUUUAAAGAGUUCUUAUCGAUAAAUGGGUUUGCGA
rnacentral:rRNA from 1 species